rnacentral:rRNA from 1 species
UACGUAGGGGGCAAGCGUUGUCCGGAAUCAUUGGGCGUAAAGCGCGUGUAGGCGGCCCGAUAAGUCCGCUGUGAAAGUCCAGGGCUCAACCCUGGAAUGCCGGUGGAUACUGUCGGGCUCGAGUCCGGAAGAGGCGAGUGGAAUUCCUGGUGUAGCGGUGAAAGUGCGCAGAUAUCAGGAGGAACACCGAUGGCGAAGGCAGCUCGCUGGGACGGUACUGACGCUGAGACGCGAAAGCGUGGGAGCAAACAGG